GAUUUGUAUCAAGGUGGAAAUCAAGCAAGGUUUAGAUAUUUGUUCAAGUCCAUUAAGAAGGGAGCCAAGGAAGAAGCAAGGGGAAGUUAGUACAGAAGAAAAAGCAAAAGCAAGAGCAAGUACUCCUAAGGGCAAGGGAGUAGU